AAGAACUUAAAAAAUGAACUAGGGAAAACCUAGUUUAACCAACUGAAGUAUUUUUCAAUUUAAUUUCACUGUAAAGACAUUGGUUUUAAAAGUUAAGUACUAAGAAAUAGGGAUAUAGGUGUGUUUGGAGGGUGGGCCGGUGGGGCAGAUUGAUGGGAAAGGUUUAAUGGGAAAUAUUUUAUCAAAACAUUGACUCAUCCUGUAUUCCAAGGUCCUCAAAUUGUAAUCUUUUCUUCUAAAUCCACAUUAAAUGUUGACAGCUGCUACAGGAAUGUGCUUCAAAUUCCAUCCUGAUAUUCUAAUUUUCUCGCUUUCAAUCAUUCAUUUGCUUCCAGUUACUUUGUUUUGGUUUUGGCUUUUGGUCCCUGCACUGACAAAGAAGACAGGAAUUUUCACGCUAUUUUAUCAAAGGCUGGGUGGGGCGGCGGGGCUCAUCUGCCCAUUAGAAGUGCAACCAGGUGAUGGAGGCAGCACAGGAAGAUGGGGUCCUUGACCAAAUGGUCAAGGUUGAUUUCCUCUGGAUGGCCAAGAAGCCACUGAGAACCUAGGGUGCAGUGCGUAGGGAGUAGGGGGCAAGGAUGCUGGCUGGUAGGAGACCCAGUGAGGGGCAGGAGGGUGGGGGGGAGGCAGCCAGGAGCACUGCAGGGUGAGGGUGGGAGGGAUGUGGGGUGAUCCGCUGAGAGUUGGAGCUCAUAGGCCUUCUAUGUGCAGCCUGGUGGCAGGGUGGGUAACAGGCAGGGGCAGGGCAUGCAGCCAAGGGCGGGCUCCUGUGCUACAGAGAAAGCUGGACCUCACAAGUCCCCUCAAAGUGCCAGGUCCAGGUUGGCUUUCAGACUUAUUCUAGAAAAAGUGGGAUCUCCUCUGUCUAUCAACACUCAGACCGUCACUUCUCCAAUUGUUCCUGACUGCAUCUGUUACACUUAUGUUAAACAGAUGACUACACUAAGUGGCUUCAUUACAAUAAUUCUCUUUCUGAUCUUUAGCCUCAACUUUUCAUCGGCCGGUUAAGUUUGUUUCUUCUAGAAUACAACAAACAAGUCUCCAAAUGAUAUACAGUGGGGAUAUCAACCAAUCAACACCUGACAAUGUUGAAAAAAGCCAUCACAGCGCCCCGUGGGGCCACACCGCCNNNNNNNNNNNNNNNNNNNNNNNNNNNNNNNNNNNNNNNNNNNNNNNNNNNNNNNNNNNNNNNNNNNNNNNNNNNNNNNNNNNNNNNNNNNNNNNNNNNNNNNNNNNNNNNNNNNNNNNNNNNNNNNNNAUCUGGGUUCUGCCAUAGAGGGAAACAACAUGAGCAGGGUGUUCAAAGGGGCCAAAGACUUGCCCCAAGAGAAAGAAGGAAGAAUGUUAACUUCGAGUCCCCCUCAAAGAGACUCUACUCAAAGCCUCUGGCCAAGACAAGAAUUACCAGAUCCUUAUCAUUGCCCUACAGGUGGCAUUGUAAUGCCCCUCCCCGACCUUACAAGCAAAGGUAUGCGGCCCACUCCUCAUCACGCCUUCGCUGGGUCAAUAAGAACACAGGAACGUCCCUAUAACCUGCCCCGCAUGCAAAUACGGUAUCUUGCCCGAGACCAAUGGGAAGAUCAAAUAUGCCCCAUGAGAGACCAAUCAACACUCAGCCCUUACACUCGCGGUGGGCCAGGGCGGGAUGGAUCACUGGGCCGGGGUGGGAGAAGCAGGCCCCCACUCAGGUCCCUAGUGUGGGGACACAAGGAAAACCCACCUGUGAAGCGGGCCAGUCCCUGCGUGCCCGGCGGCCCCGCUCUCGCUCCAAGUGUACCUGUGCUUUCAUAAACCUGCCCUAACGCGCCCACCGUUUCAAGUCUCUGCUGCUGCAGCAACAAAGCAACCCUAGCCUUCUGGUGUCCUGCCUGUUGGAGCAGGAGAGAGCUCUGAACCACAGAGCAUUUCCAUUGAGCCCAGCGCCCAAAAGACCCAUCCGUCCUGGAGGAGGACGUCCCAAUGAGAAGCUCCUGGCGCAGCGGCUGUGAGGACCUGGCCAGCUUCCUCCCGGGGGGUGAUACCCAGCUCCAGCAUCCCCUCCCCUCCCCACCUCGCUUAAGAGCCUAGCAGGCUCGCCUCUGUUCCCCCCAGGGUGCCGGAGGGAGGUGAAGAGGGUGGAAGAGCCAGGGACAAAUGAUGAAGGUAAAUGAGUGUUGGAAAGCAGGGAAAGUCCCCCCGGGGUGCGGGGGGGGGGGAUGAAAGAGGUACCCCCCCUCCCUGCCAAGGAUGAUACCAGAGAGGGUAGGCCUUUCUUCUGGGUCACCUCCCCUUCAAAGGAUUCAUUCCGCCCUUCCCGACCUCGUCCCUCCCUCUCCAACCCUCCAGCCCAUUACCUCCUGGCUCUGAAUCUCUUUUAACUCUAUUUACAAGUGUAUUUACAUAUUUUUAAGGGGACAGGCGAGAAGAGAAGGGGUCCUGAGUGGCCUGAAAUGGAAACUGCAGCAGGGCCCUGGCCCGGAUCUCUCCUCUACAUCUUAUCCUUAGUUCCUCAACGUGAACUCCCAGGGCAAGUGAACAAUCUUUAUCAUUCCUACUGAGUUAGGUACUACUUGGCAGAGUAAAUUUUGUCCUUUUUGGAAUGUACCGUCUCUAUCAUACUCAAACGUUUAAAGAAUUGAUUUCAAUGGUAGAGUCUGUAAAGCAACCCACAGGAAGUGAGGAACCUAGGCCUGGCUUCCUGUAGGCAGCAGAAAGUGGAGUCAGAACCCUGGCCCCAGUUCCUGAGCUCUGCAUAGACUGCUCACAUGAUUUAAUCUCUUAGCCAAGUCCCUUAUCCCCCGAAAUAAUAAUAGCAUUGUGUAGCUUAGGCUUCUUCAAAGAGUUCAGUGAAAAGGCACAUUUCCCACGUUCACCAUGGAAUUUAAUACUUAUCAGGGUUUGUUCCCUCCAACCCCAAGGCUUUCUGUGGGAUCUUGGUGGAUGGAUCACCCUUUCUAAGGAUCCUUUAGACAGCAGGGAUUCUCAAACAUCCGCACUCCUUAAACUCUUCUGGAAUCCAUGCAACUGGUCCCACACUUUUACCAUCUGAAAAACGAAUGAAACUGUUUCCAACUUAAAAAGGUGUCAGCCUGCUUCCAGAACGCUGAGAUGUGAUGAGAAGGAAAUCCUUGCUGCAACUCUGAGAGCCUGGGUUGCGUUAACCCUUGGUCAUCCCAUGCUCCAGAGCAGGGCACUGCCUGCUUCAGUCUGUCCAGAGGGAGGGGAAGCCCUGACACGUUUUGGUCACUUCAGUUGUUCUUGUUCAUCUGAUGGGAACGUUGCAUUAACACAUCCAAAGGUCUGUGAGAGGAUAAGCCAGCUGGCCUCUCUGCUGCCAGGGGUUGUCUCCUCCUGGGCUUGUCGGAGCCCUUCCUAGGGUCACAGAGACAGGGCAUAGCAAUGCACAAGGAGAAUGUGGGUCACCUCCCCAGGGAUCUGCUCCUCUGGAUGCCCUCGGGAGGCCCUUCUGCUGCCCCGAGGGUGCGCUUAUCUCUGCUGUCACCUUCGUUGUAUUCAUACCUUGGGAGAUUAGCGGGUGCUGACAUCAGCAGGUCCACUGUCAACCCUAGUGAAGUGGCCUGGUGACCCUUCUCAUCCAGCGCCACUGGACUGGGGAGACAUGUUUACUAAACUUGGAAAUUCGGGCAGCAUACUCGUGUUCAUUCCACUGAUCUGAAAAUAAAUUUUAAGAGUUUUUAGGUCUUCGAAUUGCUUCAGUGGUUGGCAACCAUUACUAAAACAAACAUUUUUAGAUAUAGAAUAUAAACAUCAAGGUGGGCCUAAUUAAUUAGCUGAUUUCUGCCAGAU
rnacentral:lncRNA from 1 species